GGUAAGGUGACCGAGAGUCAGGUGGUGGGUUGUAGCCCCAAAUACAGAGGUUAAAGUCCUCUCCUUAUCA
rnacentral:tRNA from 1 species